rnacentral:snRNA from 1 species
GCACUCCCUUCAGCAGCACAUGCACUGAAGUCGGAAUGAUACAGAGAAGAUAGGCACGGCCCCUGUGCAAGGAUGACAAAGAGAAAUAUAAAAAUAAGUU